rnacentral:rRNA from 1 species
GAUGAACGCUGGCGGCGUGCCUAAUACAUGCAAGUCGAGCGAACGGACGAGAAGCUUGCUUCUCUGAUGUUAGCGGCGGACGGGUGAGUAACACGUGGAUAACCUACCUAUAAGACUGGGAUAACGUCGGGAAACCGGAGCUAAUACCGGAUGAUAUUUUGAACCGCAUGGUUCAAAAGUGAAAGACGGUCUUGCAGUCACUUAUAGAUGGAUCCGCGCUGCAUUAGCUAGUUGGUAAGGUAACGGCUUACCAAGGCAACGAUGCAUAGCCGACCUGAGAGGGUGAUCGGCCACCCUGUAACUGAGACACGGUCCAGACUCCUACGGGAGGCAGCAGUAGGGAAUCUUCCGCAAUGGGCGAAAGCCUGACGGAGCAACGCCGCGUGAGUGAUGAAGGUCUUCGGAUCGUAAAACUCUGUUAUUAGGGAAGAACAUAUGUGUAAGUAACUGUGCACAUCUUGACGGUACCUAAUCAGAAAGCCACGGCUAACUACGUG